UCAGAAGGUGUUUAUACGGUAAACUCCUGUCUGUAUCUCUAUUCUCUCAGAAGGUGUUUAUACGGUAAACUCCUGUCCGUAUCUCUAUUCUCUCAGAAGGUGUUUAUACGGUAAACUCGUGUCCGUAUCUCUAUUCUCUCAGAAGGUGUUUAUACGGUAAACUCGUGUCCGUAUCUAUUCUCUCAGAAGGUGUUUAUACGGUAAACUCGUGUCCGUAUCUAUUCUCUCAGAAGGUGUGUAUGCGGUAGACUCGUGUCCGUAACUUUAUUCCUGCUGAGGUUGGCCCUAACAUUCUGCUAAACGUCUCUUUGCGUGUUCCCCUGAAGAUAGAAAGUCAUACAGGUUUGAAAAAACAUGAGGGGGAGGAAAUGCUAACAGAAUUGCCAUUUCUUUUGGUUGGUCCCUCAUAAAAGUUUCUCAUGUGAUUGGCAUCCAUUGCAUGUUCAGUAAGUUAAUAUCAAUACAUUUCAAUGCCUGUUUAAUAACAUUUUAAAAUUUGCCUGUUUCAAAACGGCUGUUUUGUCUUUUUUUGGGGGGAAAAGUUUUGAAUGAUUCAAAUCUGGAAAAAUUUUCCAAAUGGUGUUGCAAUUAAAGUACUUCCCUGUAAUGUAAUUUUUUUGUGUAUUGUGUUGAAGAUCCAGUUCUCUUUAAUCACCUUAGUCUUGGUAAUAUACACAGUGUUGUCGUGUGUGUGUGUGGUCAUUUGCCUGUAAAACACUAGUCCCUGUAAUGUUGGAUAGUGCAGUUGUGUAUUGUGUAUAAGCUCCAGUACUCUUAAAUCACCUUAGUCUUGGUAAUGAACCAUAUCGUCAGGUUUGUGUGUGUGUGUGUGGUCAUGUGCCUGUAAAACACUAGUCCCUGUAAUGUUGGAUAGUGCAGUUGUGUAUUGUGUAUAAGCUCCAGUACUCUUAAAUCACCUUAGUCUUGGUAAUGAACCAUAUCGUCAGGUUUGUGUGUGUGUGUGUGUGUGUGUGUGUGUGUGUGUGUGUGUGUGUGUGUGUGUGUGUGUGUGUGUGGUCAUGUGCCUGUAAAACACUAGUCCCUGUAAUGUUGGAUAGUGCAGUUGUGUAUUGUGUAUAAGCUCCAGUACUCUUAAAUCACCUUAGUCUUGGUAAUGAACCAUAUCGUCAGGUUUGUGUGUGUGUGUGGUCAUGUGCCUGUAAAACACUAGUCCCUGUAAUGUUGGAUAGUGCAGUUGUGUAUUGUGUAUAAGCUCCAGUACUCUUAAAUCACCUUAGUCUUGGUAAUGAACCAUAUCGUCAGGUUUGUGUGUGUGUGUGUGGUCGUGUGCCUGUAAAACACUAGUCCCUGUAAUGUUGGAUAGUGCAGUUGUGUAUUGUGUAUAAGCUCCAGUACUCUUAAAUCACCUUAGUCUUGGUAAUGAACCAUAUCGUCAGGUUUGUGUGUGUGUGUGUGUGUGUGUGGUCAUGUGCCUGUAAAACACAUUGGUCCCUGUAAUCCACUGAAAUGACAUAUUUUGUGUAUUGUAAAAUGAGUGUCCUCAUAAUCCGGCCUGGCGCCAAAAAUCACAAUUGUGUCAUAGGCAGGAACAUUUUAGAAUGGGCGGGAAAUGUCCUUGUGUACCACCAAAAUAUCCUAUUGUCAUAUUUUCCUUUCUGUUGUGUGUAUAGAACAUUUGAAGUCAGAUUUGUGAUCUGCAGAUUAAAAAAUUUUUUUUUGAUAGUUGUAUCAUCACUGGAGGGCAUCGGGAAAGGUGUGUCCCCAUAUACCACCACCAAACUUGUUUGGCUAUCAAUGUCCUUCUAUACCACAAAAACAAGUGUGUGUGUGUGUGUGUGUGUGUGUGUGUGUGUGUGUGUGUGUGUGUGUGUGUGUGUGUGUAAACGAGAGAGAAUAAA